UUUUUUUUUUUUUUUUUUUUCUUGCUUUUUAGCGCUACACCCAGGCUAGGGUUCCAAUUGGAGCUAGAGCUGCCAGGCUACACCACAGCCACAGCAAUGCAGUAUCCUACCCACGUCUGCGACCUACACCACAGGUCACGGCAACUCCAGAUCCUUAACUCACUGAGCGAGGCCAGGGAUCGAACCAGCAACCUCAUGGUUCCUAGGUUGGAUUUGUUUCUGCUGCACCACGAUGGGAAUUCUUAUCAGGAGGUUUUGAAUGAAAGUCUAGAAUUUCAGCUUCUCUUGCAAAAUUGGAAGGUCUAACAGGAGCAAUCUGCCGACCUGCUUGUUUGCAAUAGACUAGAGCUGAAGGGUCACUGCACCCUUUGGCCAAGGUAAGCCUGUCCACCCCAUCACUGCUCUGUGACACAGUCCUUUCUGUGCUCUGUCUUUGCAGAUCCCUUAAGCCUCUCACCAUUGCCUUUGGGCCAGUGUUUUUCUGUUGCCAGUGCCAGCUUCAAACCAGGGCAGGAGGGACCACUAUUAUGGCCCUGCACUUUAUAGAGUGAACCCCUCCACCAGGCAGGGGGUUGCAGGAGCCAGGGAUGUAUUUACUGGAGCCCAUAGACUUCUUCCCACACCAUUGAAUUUCCAUUUAGGGUGAUGAAAAUGUUCUGGAAUUAGGUAGAAGUUGUAGAACUUUAUGUACUCGAUGCCACUGAAUUAUAUACUUAAAAUGGUCAGUUUUCUGUUACGUGUAUUUUACUACAAUUUUAAAACUCUAAGAAAAAAUCUUGGUAAAACAAAAAGAAAAUAAAUUUGGACCUGACCUUCCAUAUUUUUUGAAGGUAUAUUUCAUAAAGUGGGAGGGUAGAACAUGUUUUAUCAUUUAACAGAGGUUAGUUAGUGCAUCAGUUUUCUUUUCUUUUCUUUCUUUUUUGUCUUUUUUUGGAGCUGUAUCCGCCACAUAAAGAGUUCCCAGCCUAGGGGUUGAAUCGGAGCUGUAGAUGCCAGGCUACAUCAAGCCAUAGCAACAUGGGAUCCGAGCCGUGUCUGCGACUUAUACCACAGCUCUUGUCAACGCCGGAUCUUUAACCCACCAAGUGAGGCCAGGGAUUGAACCAGCAUUUUCUUUUUUUUUUUUUUUCCCACUGUACAGCAAGGGGGUCAGGUUAUCCUUACAUGUAUACAUUACAAUUACAUUUUUCCCCCAGCCUUUCUUCUGUUGCAUGAACCAGCAUUUUCAUGGAUGCUGGUCUGUGUCGUUACUGCUGAGCCACUAUGGGAACUCCCAUAUAUGCAAAAUUUAAUUAUAAUGUAGUACCUAAUUUGCUCAAUGCAUAAUUUCUCAAGAUUUGAAACACUAAAAUGAUCAGACAGAAAUGUAUUUUCUGGUUAUUAUGUGUAAGAUGAGCUAUUUUUCUGAUGAUCAUUCUGAUACAACAUUUCAUGUCAAAUAUUUACCAUACCCAAAUGUACUCAGUUUAAAUCAUUACUCUGUGGAGUCCUCCUGUGGUGCAGUGGGUUAAGGAUCCUGUGUUGUCACUGCAGUGGCUUAGGUCACUACUGUGAUGCAGGUUUGAUCCCUGGCCUGGGAACUUUCACAUGCCACAGGUGACUCUUUUACAAAAAAGAGAGCAGGAGAGAAAACCACAUUUACGUAAAGAGAGGCACAAGUAUAUACAUAUAAUAUGCACACAAGUACCUAUUAUACUCACAUACGUAUAUAAUGCACACAUAUGUAUACACACACACAUGUAAAACACAUAUUGAAAAAAGACAGUAUACGCACUCUUUUUUUGAACCGCUUGAGGGUAUGUUGCAGACAUGACUUGUGCCUUUAACUGAGAGCAAGGAC
rnacentral:lncRNA from 9 species